AGGUGCUGCACGGCUGUCGUCAGCUCGUGUCGUGAGAUGUUGGGUUAAGUCCCGCAACGAGCGCAACCCUCGUCACUAGUUACUAACGGUUCGGCCGAGGACUCUAGUGAGACUGCCUUCGUAAGGAGGAGGAAGGUGAGGACGACGUCAAGUCAUCAUGGCCCUUACGGCUAGGGCAACACACGUGCUACAAUGGCCAGGACAGUGAGACGCGAUACCGCGAGGUGGAGCAAAUCUAUAAACCUGGUCUCAGUUCGGAUUGUAGUCUGCAACUCGACUACAUGAAGCUGGAAUCACUAGUAAUCGUAGAUCAGCUAUGCUACGGUGAAUACGUUCCCGGGUCUUGUACUCACCGCCCGUCACACCAUGGGAGUUGAUUUCACCCGAAGCGGGGAAGCUAAACUGGCUACCCUCCACGGUGGAAUUAGCGACUGGGGUGAAGUCGUAACAAGGUA
rnacentral:rRNA from 1 species